UUACGGCCAUAUCACGUUGAAACACAAGUUCUCGCACGAUCGACGAACUAAAGCAAUGUCGAGUCUGGUCAGUACCUAGAUGGGUAACCGCAUGGGAAUACCAGGUGCUAUA